rnacentral:rRNA from 1 species
ACGGCGCACGGGUGCGUAACACGUGGGCAAUCUGCCCUUCGAUGGGGAAUAACUCCGGGAAACCGAAUCUAAUUCCGCAUAACAUUCCUUGGAUUCCGGUUCGAGGAUUCAAAGCCGUAAGGCGUCGAAGGAGGAGCCCGCGCCCGAUUAGCUAGUUGGCGAGGUAACGGCUCACCAAGGCAAUGAUCGGUAGCUGGUCUGAGAGGAUGGCCAGCCACACUGGAACUGAGACACGGUCCAGACUCCUACGGGAGGCAGCAGUGGGGAAUCUUGCACAAUGGGCGAAAGCCUGAUGCAGCGACGCCGCGUGGGGGAUGAAGCAUUUCGGUGUGUAAACCCCUUUCGACCGGGAAGAAUGCCCGCAAGGGAGUGACGGUACCGGUAUAAGAAGCCCCGGCUAACUACGUGCCAGCAGCCGCGGUAAGACGUAGGGGGCCAGCGUUGUUCGGAAUUACUGGGUGUAAAGGGUUCGUAGGCGGUGUGGCAAGUCGGGAGUGAAAUCUAUGGGCUUAACCCAUAGGCUGCUUCCGA